CACAUCUGCUCGGAACCCCAGUCUAGCUCACUGCCCCAGGCAUGCUGCGGGUCCCAGGGCUACUUCUUGUUUUCCUGGCUCCUGUCACUCAGGUAUCUUCCAACUUGAAAGGGGACAAGCUUUCAGUCACUAGUAAGAUAGGGGAGACUGCUUCGCUCACUUGUGAGCUUACACAAGAUGCCAGCUAUAUCCACUGGUACAAACACCAGAAGGGGACUGCCCCCCAACGUCUUCUCUACUACGACGUCUACUACUCAAAGAGUGUGUUCGAUUCAGGAAUCAAUGAAGCAAAAUACAGUGUUUAUAAAGUCACAGGGAGGAGCUAUACAUUUGCAAUCCUAAAUCUGGAAGACAGUGAUUCCGGGAUGUACUACUGCGCUGUCUGGGAGAAGCACAAGGUAUUUGGAGAAGGAACGAAGCUCAUGGUAGCUCCCCGUGACAGAAACCUUGCUGCAGACAUUUCCCCCAAGCCCACUAUUUUUCUUCCUUCAAUUGCUGAAAUCAACCACCAUAAGACUGGAACAUAUCUUAGUCUUCUGGAGAAAUUCUUCCCUGAUGUUAUUAAUGUUUAUUGGAAAGAAAAGAAUAGCAACAGAGUUCUGCCAUCCCAGCAGGGAAAUACCAUGAAGACCGCUGACAUGUACAUGCAGUUCAGCUGGCUGACCGUGGCUGAAAACUCAGUAGAUAAAGAACACAUAUGUGUUGUCAUACACGAGAAAAAUAGAGGAGGAGCAGAACAAGAGAUUCUUUUUCCUUCAGUAAAUGAAGUUGUCACCUCAGCUGUCCCUUCUACUGAGUCUCCAAAUGAUUGUUUGAAUGAUGAAAGCAAAGUCACUGGUACUGAUUCUACAAAAGCUUGUCUGAAAGAUAAAAGUGAAGUCACUGUUACUAAUUCUACUAAAGCUUGUCUGAAAGAUGAAAACAAUUCCCUGCAGCUGCAGCUCAUGAACACCAGUGCCUACUACACCUACCUCCUUCUCCUCCUCAAGAGCUCGGUCUACUUUGUCAUCGUCGCCUGCUGUGUGUGUAGGAGAACAGCCGUCUGUGGCCAUGGGAAGAGCUCGUGACAGAGGGGACCACAAAGGGGUCACCUUUCCUUCAUCAUCUCUUGUCUCUGAAAGUGUCUGCUGAGGAUCUAGCUGGGCUUCCUUUCUGGGUUUGGGUUAUGUCAGUUCACAUGCGUAUUCUUCUGUGUGCCAUUAUUGUGUAAGGGCUUUUCAAAGCACUGGGCAAGCAGACAGUUUGACUCCGUGACAGGGAAUUCUGCCAUCACUCGGGGGCAGGGCCCAGGGCUGGCCCAGGGGAGCCUCUCCCACCACUGUCCCCACAACCGCACCAGCUCCUCCUG